GGAGGAAAAGAAACCAACAGGGAUUGCCUUAGUAGCGGCGAGUGAAGCGGCAAAAGCUCAAAUUUGAAAUCUGGCUCUUUCAGAGUCCGAGUUGUAAUUUGAAGAAGGUAUCUUUGGGUCUGGCUCUUGUCUAUGUUUCUUGGAACAGAACGUCACAGAGGGUGAGAAUCCCGUGCGAUGAGAUGAUCCAGGCCUAUGUAAAGUUCCUUCGAAGAGUCGAGUUGUUUGGGAAUGCAGCUCUAAGUGGGUGGUAAAUUCCAUCUAAAGCUAAAUAUUGGCGAGAGACCGAUAGCGAACAAGUACAGUGAUGGAAAGAUGAAAAGAACUUUGAAAAGAGAGUGAAAAAGUACGUGAAAUUGUUGAAAGGGAAGGGCUUGAGAUCAGACUUGGUAUUUUGUAUGUUACUUCUUCGGGGGUGGCCUCUACAGUUUAUCGGGCCAGCAUCAGUUUGGGCGGUAGGAGAAUUGCGUUGGAAUGUGGCACGGCUUCGGUUGUGUGUUAUAGCCUUCGUCGAUACUGCCAGCCUAGACUGAGGACUGCGGUUUAUACCUAGGAUGUGC
rnacentral:rRNA from 1 species